rnacentral:rRNA from 1 species
GAGUGCGUAAUAGCUCACUGGUCGAGAGUAUCUGCGCCGAAGAUGUAACGGGGCUAAGACAUAAACCGAAGCUGCGGAGGCGUGUUUUCACGCCUGGUAGGAGAGCGUUCUGUAGGCCGUCGAAGGUAAGCUGUAAGGCUUUCUGGAGGCAUCAGAAGUGAGAAUGCAGGAAUGAGUAGCGAGAAGGCGGGCGAGAAUCCCGCCGGCCGGAAGUCCAAGGUUUCCAGGGGAAGGCUUGUCCGCCCUGGGGAAGUCGGGACCUAAGCAUAAGCAAAAUUGUGAUGGCGAAUGGAAAACAGGUUAAUAUUCCUGUACCACUAUUAUCGCUUGAGAGACGGAGUGACGCAGGAAGGUAUGCGGGAAGGCUGACGGAAUAGCCUUUCCAAGGGCGUAGCAUGGGCAUGCAGGAAAAUCCGCGUGCCUAAAUGUGAGACCUGACGGGUAAGUGCAUCUUGCAUAAGCCGCAGAUCCUACACUGCCGAGAAAAACUUCUAUCGAUGAGAACCAGCGCCCGUACUGUAAACCGACACAGGUGGACAGAGUGAGAAACUUAAGGCCGACAGGAUAACUCUAGCUAAGGAACUCUGCAAAAUAGCCCCGUAACUUCGGGAGAAGGGGUGCCUGACAUACCUGAGAGGAGAAACACCUCAAGGGGAAACAGGCCGCAGUGAAGAGUCCCAAGCAACUGUUUACCAAAAACACAGGUCUAUGCUAAGCUGGAAGGCGACGUAUAUGGGCUGACACCUGCCCAGUGCCGGAAGGUUAAGAGGAGGAGUGAGAGCUCCGAUUUGAAGCCCCGGUGAACGGCGGCCGUAACUAUAACGGUCCUAAGGUAGCGAAAUUCCUUGUCGGGUAAGUUCCGACCUGCACGAAUGGUGAAAUGAUUUGGGAGCUGUCUUGGCUGGAGACCUGGUGAAGUUGUAAUGUCGGUGAAGAUACCGACUACCUGCAGUAGGACGGAAAGACCCCGUGGAGCUUUACUGUAGUUUGGCAUUGGGUUUUGGCUGUGUGUGUAUAGGAUAGUUGGGAGACUGUGAAGCUGAGGCGUCAGUUUCAGCCGAGUCGCCGUUGGAAUACCAACCAUAUGCCGUUGAAAUUCUAAUCUGGUAACGGAGACAGUGCUAGAUGGGCAGUUUGACUGGGGCGGUCGCCUCCAAAAGAGUAACGGAGGCGUUCAAAGGUUCCCUCAGGCUGGAUGGAAAUCAGCCUAAGAGUGCAAACGCAUAAGGGAGCUUGACUGCAAGACUGACGGGUCGAGCAGGUACGAAAGUAGGAGUUAGUGAUCCGGCGGUUCCGUAUGGAAGGACCGUCGCUCAACGGAUAAAAGCUACCCCGGGGAUAACAGGCUGAUACUUCCCAAGAGUCCAUAUCGACGGAAGUGUUUGGCACCUCGAUGUCGGCUCGUCUCAUCCUGGGGCUGGAGAAGGUCCCAAGGGUUGGGCUGUUCGCCCAUUAAAGAGGCACGCGAGCUGGGUUCAGAACGUCGUGAGACAGUUCGGUCCCUAUCCACUGCAGGCGCCUGAGCACUGAAAAGAUCUGACCUUAGUACGAGAGGACCGGGUUGGACAGACCUCUGAUGUAUCAGUUGUCACGCCAGUGGCAUGGCUGAGUAGUCACGUCUGGAACGGAUAAUCGCUGAAAGCAUCUAAGCGAGAAGCCGUCUUUGAGAUGAGUAUUCGCAGUAUCCAUGGAGAACACAUGGUUGAUAGGCCAGAGGUGUAAGUGCAGCAAUGCAUUCAGCUGACUGGUACUAAUAUUACAUCUGCUUUUUAGUU